GGUCUCAUAAGCUAGCGGUAAACUGACUCGUUUACACCGAGUAUUCCGAGGUUCAACUCCUCGUGGGACCA
rnacentral:tRNA from 1 species